CAAGUCGAACGGUAACGCGAGGAGCUUGCUCCUUGGCGACGAGUGGCGGACGGGUGAGUAAUACUUAGGAAUCUGCCCAGUAGUGGGGGACAACCCGGGGAAACUCGGGCUAAUACCGCAUACGCCCUACGGGGGAAAGCGGGGGACCUUCAGACCUCGCGCUAUUGGAUGAGCCUAAGUCGGAUUAGCUUGUAGGUGGGGUGAAAGCCCACCUAGGCGACGAUCCGUAGCUGGUCUGAGAGGACGAUCAGCCACACUGGGACUGAGACACGGCCCAGACUCCUACGGGAGGCAGCAGUGGGGAAUAUUGGACAAUGGGCGCAAGCCUGAUCCAGCAAUGCCGCGUGUGUGAAGAAGGCCUGCGGGUUGUAAAGCACUUUCAGUAGGGAAGAAAAGCCUGAGGUUAAUACCCUCGAGUCUUGACGUUACCUACAGAAGAAGCACCGGCUAACUCCGUGCCAGCAGCCGCGGUAAUACGGAGGGUGCGAGCGUUAAUCGGAAUUACUGGGCGUAAAGCGCGCGUAGGCGGUAAUGUAAGUCGGAUGUGAAAGCCCCGGGCUCAACCUGGGAAUUGCACUCGAUACUGCACUACUAGAGUAUGGGAGAGGGAAGUGGAAUUUCCGGUGUAGCGGUGAAAUGCGUAGAUAUCGGAAAGAACACCAGUGGCGAAGGCGAC
rnacentral:rRNA from 1 species